rnacentral:rRNA from 1 species
UGGCAAUUCUAGAGCUAAUACAUGCAAUAAAGCUCUGCCCGCAAGGAACGAGCGCAUUUAUUAGAAUAAAAACCAAUCGAGCUUCGGUUCGUAAUUUGGUGAAUCUGAAUAACUUUGCCAAUCGCACAGUCCUAGUACUGGCGAUGUAUCUUUCAAGUGUCUGCCUUAUCAACUUUCGAUGGUACGCUAUACGCCUACCAUGGUAGUAACGGGUAACGGAGAAUAAGGGUUCGACUCCGGAGAGGGAGCCUGAGAAACGGCUACCACAUCCAAGGAAGGCAGCAGGCGCGCAAAUUACCCACUUCCAGAACGGAGAGGUAGUGACGAAAAAUAACGAGACAGUCCUCUUCGAGGUCUGUCAUCGGAAUGGGUACAAUUUAAAUCCUUUAACGAGGAUCUAUUGGAGGGCAAGUCUGGUGCCAGCAGCCGCGGUAAUUCCAGCUCCAAUAGCGUAUAUUAAAGUUGUUGCGGUUAAAACGCUCGUAGUUGGAUCUGCGGCCUCGAAGAACGGUCCCCCGAAAGGGUGGUCACUGUCUCUUCUAGCCUAAAUUCGAGUUGUCUCUAGGUGCUCUUUACUGAGUGCUUAGAGCGACUAGAACGUUUACUUUGAAAAAAUUAGAGUGCUUAAAGCAGGCGAAAUAGUCUGUAUAAGGUGCAUGGAAUAAUGGAAUAGGAUCUCGGUUCUAUUUUGUUGGUUUUCGGAGCCCGAGAUAUGAUUAAGAGGAACAGACGGGGGGCAU